GGAUGUAGCUCAAUGGCACAGCACAUGUCUGGCAAGCAUGAGGUACUGAGUUCGAUCCCCAGUACCA
rnacentral:tRNA from 1 species